rnacentral:lncRNA from 1 species
AUGGUUAAGGGAGAUCACUUGGCCAUAAAUCCCCGGUGAGGAAUGAUGAUGGUCCUCCCUCCCUACCCCCAAAAUUAAAGGCGCGAGAGCAGGACUCCCUGAAGGGAAACGGCCACCAUUUCUGCGAGGUCUGCGCAAACCUUACCAUGUAUGUGCCACCGUGAAACGCCGCUGUUUGGGGAUGUUGCUGCUGAGAAGCAUUCUGCGCAGAAGCCUGGGGGAAUUUCUCGGAGAGAUCACUGGAGAGAGCUUGGGAGAAACCGAUUUCCUCGCUGUCUUGGACUUCUCAUGCUGCAACAGGUUUUCUCGCAAGGAUUUCACAAGGUCUUCGUUCAGCCACGGGUUUGGACAAUGCGGAUUAUCCACUUCAGGUACUGUUAAAGUGUCCGGGCUUGUCUGCUGAGCCAUUUUCCUGGUCAACUUUGUACAGCUGGCAAGAAUCCAGGGCAACGUGGUUCCCUCGCUCACGGUCCCGGAAAUGUCCAGGGAAGCAGGUCUGAGCCUGCUGCUGUUAGUGCAUUCAGUCGCCUGCCUCAGUCUCUCUGUAGAGCCUGGGGCUGGGUGCAGAGGAGGCGAGCGCACUCCUCCGCGGAAGCGUAUUAAACGUCACCCCUCCUCUCCCAAGCCCCUGCCAAAGAUCACUGACAAGCUCGCAUAGCAAAUGAACAAGGAGGGAAAGCACCGCGCUCGCACGGCUUUGUCCGUGCUACAAAGCAGCCUGUUAAACUAUUGGAACUAAUGCGCCGCAGCUGCGCGAGUGACUUCUGCUGCUUAUGUACAUAAAAAGUCCUGGGGGGAGGGCUUAACCAUCAGAUGCCUGCUGCUGGGUUGUUUGGCUAGUCUUUCCAUUUGCUUAUUCCUGAAUCCAAAGGAAAGAAAAACUUUGAACUUGACCUUCCUCUCCCGCAGGGCUAUUUAUCUCCCUACAGUCCACGUUCAUAAAAGAAAAAUGCCAAUCCUUUGUUUUUUUCUCUCUUUUUUUUUUAAUAAGGGAAGAAUAAACAAGCACUAGCUACACAAGGAGAAAUACUUCCCUGCUUACUAAACUCAAUCUGAUGAACCACAUAAGACAAAUCCCAUGAGAAUGAAAUUGACUUUUUCUCCCUCUGUCUCUAGUUAGAACCCAAACAAACAAAAGGUUUCAAAAUACUACACAUGGAACGCUUUACAGGUUGCAGUUGUGUUCUACAACCUUAUUAAUUAGGGCCCUUUCAAAGAACUAACAACACUAUUUAGACUCACAAAUGAUAUGUUUUCUCUUUGCAUUUAAACUAAUGCCCCUCCAGAAGGACAGAUAGUUUUCAUAAGAGUAGUUUCAAUUACUAUUUGUGAUAUAUACAAUUUUAUGUAUUCAACUAUAAGAGGGUGGAAUACAUCUAGCUUUUCGUGAUUUCCUUUAUUGCCUUUUAAUGUAAGAUUUUUAUGUGUGAUGAAUAGAGCUUCAACAAACUUAUUCAGAGAGC